UGAGUAACACGUAUCCAACCUGCCGUCUACUCUUGACAGCCUUCUGAAAGGAAGAUUAAUACAAGAUGACAUCAUGAGUCCGCAUGUUCACAUGAUUAAAGGUAUUCCGGUAGACGAUGGGGAUGCGUUCCAUUAGAUAGUAGGCGGGGUAACGGCCCACCUAGUCUUCGAUGGAUAGGGGUUCUGAGAGGAAGGUCCCCCACAUUGGAACUGAGACACGGUCCAA
rnacentral:rRNA from 1 species